AUGUCUUCCAUUGGGGCUAGCUAUGCUGGGGUUUAUGUGAUGCAGAAGCGACAGAAGGAGAAAAUGGAGAAGAAGGAAGACGAAACUAGAGGGAAAGGAGAAAGCAGUACAGCAAAGGAGAGCAAAGUCUCUGCACCUGGGAGGACCAAAAAGGUCCAUGCAGAGAAUUUUCAGGCCUCGGACACUACCCGUCCCUAGAGGAAGGCCAUAGUUAGUGUGCAUGCCUUAGUGUGUGGAAUGGUAGUUUCUAAAGUUUUUACAAAUGCUUAUGCUUGGUUGAUUUUUCAAGUGAUUUAUUCUUGUUUAACUUGUGCUUUGUCUAAGUUUCCAAGUUUUAGGUUGUGCUUCCAUUUUCACCUU
rnacentral:lncRNA from 1 species